rfam:Lupinus angustifolius cultivar Tanjil chromosome LG16, whole genome shotgun sequence.
GUUCCAUAGACAUUUUGGCAUUCUGUCCACCUCCAUCAGUACUGUUAUAUAUAUGUAUGUAUAUAUAUAUAUAAAGAUCUAGAAACAUACCUAGAUGGUGACAUAUUUGGAGGUGGCCAGUAUGCCAAACAAGCUCUGUGAA